CUAUCUCAUAACCUGGUCAGGAGGCUCCCUGUGUCCUACAAUUCUGGAUUCUUCAAAUGAAUGAGUGAAAAGAUGAAGAAGAUGGUUGACUAGAGUAAUGUAUUCCGUGGUCAGAACGUCUUCUGCUCCCUGCUGCUGCCAUCUCUGUCUUGGUCUCCCUCCUCUCCACCCCAUGAGCAUGAAGACAAAAUACCCAUAGAUGAGAUGAAAAGGAUAGAGGUAAAAAAGGACAGAGCAGAAGAAGGGGACCAAGUCCCCCCACCGUCUCAGCUUCCCUAAUUGAAUGACUCUCCUACCUGACUCUCCUGUCGGCUCCCAUGUUCCUUCAUUCUCCCUGAUGGCCCUGAAAUCAUCUCCCCCAUCUCAUCAAAUCUCUCCCCCUUCCUCCUGCUUGUUCUCUAAGCCGCAGAUUACUUUUUCAUAAAAUUCAAUU
rnacentral:lncRNA from 1 species